GCGUGGAGGGCUCCGCGUGAAUGGCCGUGGCCGGCGGGGCAGGGAGCGGCUCCGCCUAGGGCCGCCAUCUUUACUAGUGGCAGCGCGGACCACCCUGGACGCACAGGGGCUUUUCACGGCGCUCUCGGGCCAAUAGAAAAAGGGUCUAUCACAGGAGUUUUGUUUGGGGUUCCUUUGCCCUUUCUACUUUGCGGUGGGUGGCUUUGGUUUUGCUCUGGCCCCAGGGACGCGGUGCGGGGAGACUGCGAGGGCUCGCGGCUCGGAGUUCAGGGCAGAGGGACCCCAGGGCGGAGAGGGCGUGACUGGAGUUUUAGCUGCCGCUGCAGUAAAACCACCCGGUUUGCGUGCUCUCGGCGUGCGCUGGGAGGGACACUUGAUUCCUCUCAAUUUCCAGAAGCGGCAGUGAGGUUUGCUUCCUGGGCAUGUUGCUCUCGCAGGAAAGCAAUUCUGGAAAGCUCUCUUGAAUACGUCAUGCUUGUUGCUCACGCCGUGCGCGGUCCCGCCCGCACGGACUGCGGUUUUGCUGUUGAGAAGUGUAAAUCAAACGGCCCUCUUGGGAACAAGUUCUCGGCUCCAGAGACAGUGGCCUGCAGGGGCAAAAGUGAGCCUGCCUUAACAGACAAGCUCGGAGCUGUUGGCUGAAAAUUAUUUUGAUUAUAUCAGUUUAUUUGCCUUUUUAGGCAACUGUUACUGUUUGUGUGUGCAUCCGGUUUUCCCUCGUCUCUGAUGGCCACCCCCGUAAAAAAGCAAAAGAAGAAACUCUUCUAUGCUGUUUUGCUGUAUCAGAAGUGAUCGUGGUUCAGGACCCACCCUCCCUUCGGUGGAUGUGGAUGAAAAGAAUUAAAGAAUAGGUUCCUUGGAUGAGUUAGAGAUGGGGAAACGGAAAAAGCCUUGGUUGUCUUGGUUUAGCGGGAGGCGAUGUCCUUGUGGUUUUAUUUGCACUGCGUAGGUGCAAAUUCGGUGGAUUGUGGAUAUUCAAAGGUGACUUCUGGCGCUGCCUUGGUGUGGGUGUUGCCAUGGCUACAGGGAGAGGUAGUUGGUGAAUUGCGGGGCCAAUAAAUCAGCAAGGCGAGGCCUCUCCCAUGUGUGAAGGCUUAGGGGUAAUUGACUACCCUGGUUUAUAUAUCCUGGCUUUCAGUAUUCCCACCCCAUCCAAGAUUCCUGAAUUGAUCAGUGCAGGCACACAUGGGCGUGUCGAUUUCUGUGUUGACUAACAGGUGCUUUCACUGCCUCGUGUAGCUUUUCUGAUCAAUGCUGCAUGUGGGAACAUAGUUUUGGUACCACUUGCCAUACAUGUUGAUGUGUAUGUGAUCGCUACUGUUAUCUAAUCUUACCAAUUUUAACAUUUAACUUUUGGCUUUUAUGCCUUUCCCCGUAAACUAUCACUUGAUCGUAGGGUGCCUUCUGCCUGAGACGAACACUCCAUUUUACUGUGUAUGAAUAUAAUGCCAGAACCCUGAGUCCGUGGACUUUGCAAAAGAAAGAAAAUUGCAGCUUUGCAUAAUCUCCAUAUAGCAGCAACCACUCGUGCCUCUGUGGAACACACAGUAAUUCAGUGUUCUUUGGCAGCUGCAGUGCUGGGAGUCGCCACUUUGCUUGCUGUGUGAAGUACAGCAAAGGACUGAAUCUUCUGGAGCCUCGAUUUCUUCUCCAGACACAGGUGUAAUGUGACCUAUGUGCUUCACGGAAGACAAGCUGGGCUCCAGUCUAUGUCCUAAAGGAGAGGAACCUUUUAACAGCUGAAAAGUGAUGAGAAUGGAUGGUUUUCCAAUGCAACUUGGAUGAGUGUUUGUGGAAUUCUCUCCUUCCACCCCCUGCUGACGCACCUUAGCAUUUCUCUUCUGUCACAUAAAGGAUCCAAAAACACAGAACUUCUGUUCACAAUGAACACGGGGGAGUUAGACAGUAGGAAACAUUUUUCAACUCUUUCAAAACUGUAACUUUAAAAUAUUGCAAAUGAAAGACCAAGGGAAACAGACUGCUUCCCAAGUGAAUUGUGGAAUUUGUGUCUAAUUAACUUUCUUUUGUCCAAAACAGAUCCAAAUAAAGUUAUUUUGCCUCCCUUCCCACUAAUAUAAUUUGAGACACUGAAAUAUUCUAAGGAUUGCUUUUGAUGGGCAUCCUGAAAUUUUAUUUGGGGCAAAAAUGGUAAUUCUUCUGUUUAAGGUUGCUGAUUUCAUGAAGCUUUUCAAACCGUGCUCUGUUUCCCAC
rnacentral:lncRNA from 1 species